rnacentral:rRNA from 1 species
CCUACGGGAGGCAGCAGUGGGGAAUAUUGCACAAUGGGGGAAACCCUGAUGCAGCGACGCCGCGUGAGUGAAGAAGUAUCUCGGUACGUAAAGCUCUAUCAGCAGGGAAGAAAAUGACGGGACCUGACUAAGAAGCCCCGGCUAACGACGGGCCAGCAGCCGCGGUAAUCCGGAGGGGGCAAGCGUUAUCCGGAUUUACGGGGUGUAAAGGGAGCGUAGCCGGCAGCACAAGUCUGGAGUAAAAUCCCGGGGCUUACCCCCGGAACUGCUUUGGAAACUGGGCGGCUGGAGUGCAGGAGGGGUCAGCGCAAUUCCUUGUGUAGCGGUGAAAUGCGUCGAUAUUAGGAGGAACCCCGGUGGCGAAUGCGGCUUACUGGACUGUACCUGACGUUGAGGCUCG